GGGGGUGUAGCUCAGUGGUAGAGCACUUGCCUAGCAUGCUCGAGGUCCUGGGUUCGAUCACCAGCACCACAA
rnacentral:tRNA from 1 species